AUCGUUCAUCUAUUAUAGACGGAAGUAGGUUACUCAACCGAAGGAACGCACC
rnacentral:ncRNA from 10 species